rnacentral:lncRNA from 1 species
UGGUGGCCUUGCGAAGGUGCUUCAAUCCGAAGCUUCAUCUCACUUUCCUACGCAACUUGGCAUGCGCACGAAGUAAAGGGCCUGCAGAUCCAGACCUAUGUAAAGGUUUAAAUUCAGAUUUCAAGAAUUUCAUCCCUAUUCCACUACAAUUUAGAUAAAAUUUGAUCUUUAUUUAGUUCUAUUGGUGCAGAAUUCCACCGACACCAGAGAAGCUGGAGUCGAGGGGAUCGUGCCCGCCAUCGGGACCUGCAAGGGAAGUCUAAACCGGAGUUGGGAGU